GACGAACGCUGGCGGCGUGCUUAACACAUGCAAGUCGAGCGGUAAGGCCCUUCGGGGUACACGAGCGGCGAACGGGUGAGUAACACGUGAGCAACCUGCCCCUGACUCCGGGAUAAGCGGUGGAAACGCCGUCUAAUACCGGAUAUGACCUGCCACCUCAUGGUGGCGGGUGGAAAGUUUUAUCGGUCAGGGAUGGGCUCGCGGCCUAUCAGCUUGUUGGUGGGGUAACGGCCUACCAAGGCGAUUACGGGUAGCCGGCCUGAGAGGGCGACCGGCCACACUGGGACUGAGACACGGCCCAGACUCCUGCGGGAGGCAGCAGUGGGGAAUAUUGCACAAUGGGCGAAAGCCUGAUGCAGCGACGCCGCGUGGGGGAUGACGGCCUUCGGGUUGUAAACCUCUUUUACCACCAACGCAGGCUCCGGGUUCUCUCGGGGUUGACGGUAGGUGGGGAAUAAGGACCGGCUAACUACGUGCCAGCAGCCGCGGUAAUACGUAGGGUCCGAGCGUUGUCCGGAAUUAUUGGGCGUAAAGAGCUCGUAGGCGGCAUGUCGCGUCUGCUGUGAAAGACCGGGGCUUAACUCCGGUUCUGCAGUGGAUACGGGCAUGCUAGAGGUAGGUAGGGGAAACUGGAAUUCCUGGUGUAGCGGUGAAAUGCGCAGAUAUCAGGAGGAACACCGGUGGCGAAGGCGGGUUUCUGGGCCUUACCUGACGCUGAGGAGCGAAAGCAUGGGGAGCGAACAGGAUUAGAUACCCUGGUAGUCCAUGCCGUAACGUUGGGCGCUAGGUGUGGGGACUUUCCACGGUUUCCGCGCCGUAGCUAACGCAUUAAGCGCCCCGCCUGGGGAGUACGGCCGCAAGGCUAAAACUCAAAGGAAUUGACGGGGGCCCGCACAAGCGGCGGAGCAUGUUGCUUAAUUCGACGCAACGCGAAGAACCUUACCAAGGUUUGACAUCACCCGUGGACCUGUAGAGAUACAGGGUCAUUUAGUUGGUGGGUGACAGGUGGUGCAUGGCUGUCGUCAGCUCGUGUCGUGAGAUGUUGGGUUAAGUCCCGCAACGAGCGCAACCCUUGUUCUAUGUUGCCAGCACGUAAUGGUGGGGACUCAUAGGAGACUGCCGGGGUCAACUCGGAGGAAGGUGGGGACGACGUCAAGUCAUCAUGCCCCUUAUGUCUUGGGCUGCAAACAUGCUACAAUGGCCGGUACAAUGGGCGUGCGAUACCGUAAGGUGGAGCGAAUCCCUUAAAGCCGGUCUCAGUUCGGAUUGGGGUCUGCAACUCGACCCCAUGAAGGUGGAGUCGCUAGUAAUCGCGGAUCAGCAACGCCGCGGUGAAUACGUUCCCGGGCCUUGUACACACCGCCCGUCACGUCAUGAAAGUCGGCAACACCCGAAACUUGUGGCCUAACCCUUCGGGGAGGGAAUGAGUGAAGGUGGGGCUGGCGAUUGGGACGAAG
rnacentral:rRNA from 1 species